rfam:Lysobacter spongiicola DSM 21749 genome assembly, contig: BP04DRAFT_scaffold00012.12
GCGGGUGUAGUUCAAUGGUAGAACUUCAGCUUCCCAAGCUGAUAGCGUGGGUUCGAUUCCCAUCACCCGCU